GAUGAAGAACGCAGCGAAAUGCGAUACGUAAUGUGAAUUGCAGAUUUCAGUGAAUCAUCGAAUCUUUGAACGCACAUUGCGCCCGCUAGUAUUCUGGCGGGCAUGCCUGUUCGAGCGUCAUUUCAACCAUCAAGCCCUAGGCUUGCGUUGGAGCCCUGCGGCUGCCGCAGGCUCCCAAAUCCAGUGGCGGGCUCGUCGUCGUACCGAGUGCAGUAAACAUCCUCGCUCAGGGAACGUGACGGGUUCUUGCCGUGAAACCCCCCACAUAUCAAGGUUGACCUCGGAUCAGGUAGGAAUACCCGCUGAACUUAAGCAUAUCAAUAACGGAGGA
rnacentral:misc_RNA from 1 species